CUGUCCAACGUUAAUCGGGGCAGGGUGAGUCGACCCCUAAGGCGAGGCCGAAAGGCGUAGUCGAUGGGAAACAGGUUAAUAUUCCUGUACUUGGUGUUACUGCGAAGGGGGGACGGAGAAGGCUAUGUUGGCCGGGCGACGGUUGUCCCGGUUUAAGCGUGUAGGCUGGUUUUCCAGGCAAAUCCGGAAAAUCAAGGCUGAGGCGUGAUGACGAGGCACUACGGUGCUGAAGCAACAAAUGCCCUGCUUCCAGGAAAAGCCUCUAAGCAUCAGGUAACAUCAAAUCGUACCCCAAACCGACACAGGUGGUCAGGUAGAGAAUACCAAGGCGCUUGAGAGAACUCGGGUGAAGGAACUAGGCAAAAUGGUGCCGUAACUUCGGGAGAAGG
rnacentral:rRNA from 1 species